AAUCUUCCAUCGCACCUCCAGCUGAUCCGCUGUCCAUAUCGGAUGGGAGGUAAGCAUGGGAGGAGGCGUUGGAUUUGGGGAAGGGAGGGUGAUGGUGAGAGUGUAUCAGUAUCAGUGUACAUGUGUGCGUGCGUGUGUGUGUGUGUGUGUGUGUGUGUGUGUGUGUAUCCUAUGUUCAGCUGAGAGAAAGUGUCACCACGCCCGGUUAAGCGAAGGUCAACAGUCUCCAGUGGACCCAGGUGGCCUUGAAGGAGGGACAAAGAGUUCUGACAACAGUCCUGUUUAUCAUGGAAGAAUUUUUGUUGUUCCAGUCAGCUUUGACCUUGGCAGGCCUUCAGCUGGCGCCAGUGGGAUAGCCGCAUGAGUGAAGAUGGUGAAUGUUUGUGUUUAGUGUAAACAACUGCAUCGAAUUUUUACAGUUUGUCAAAUGUCCGUUACUGGUCACCAAUUCUCUCAAUUCCCGUUCUUCUUCUCCAAGAUCUUACCCAUUUCAAAACCAUGAGCUUCUCCAAGAUGUUAUCCAUAUUGCGUUCAAUAAACACAGUCUGAGUAUUCACAGCCCUGCCCAUCGUCUGUCACAGGGGUGUCGAACUCGCCUCGAGGGCCGGUGUCCUGCAGGGUUUACAUAUCACCCUGGGUCAUCACACCUGAAUCAAAUGAUUAGUUCAUUCCCGGGCCUCUGGAGAACUUCAAGACAUAUUGAGGAGGUCAUUUGGCAUUUAAAUCAGCUGUGUUGCAUCAAGGACACAUCUAAAUCCUGCAGGACACCGGCCCUCGAGGCCUAGAGUGCGACACCCCUGGUCUAUCAUGUCGGCCAUCCUUGUGGGAUUUUGAACAGCUGUAGCCGCUUCUUGUUCUUCGAUAAGCCAGGGCUGAGCCAGCUCCAAUCAGCCAGAACUCUGUUAUCGUGUUUCUGAAUUGGUAGAUGUCAUUCAAUGUCCACAAUUGAGAGUGUCGCCAGACACAGGAUGCAAAACAACCAUCGAGUAUCCGGCAGCAAACGUCUCAGCAGGACAAUCGGACUCUCCCAAGCCCAGGAGGGUUUCAAUUUCGUUACGGGGCCAGUUGAUCAAAUCCAUAAUUUUUUCGGUUUUAGAGAACAAGACUGAGAGACUCUUUGAGGGUUAGAGUUAGACGAGACUAGACACAGACAUAGAAGCAGCAGGGAAGACAAGGGAAGGAGAGGGUGAAAGAUGCGUCCGCCUCCUCCGAGAGCCAAAGAAAAGAGUGGGGAGAGUUUAGACGCUCUCCAAGAUUACAUCGACCAGUGCUCCGAGGGUGUAGUUAUGAAGAAGGUCCAAAGCGCAUCUUCCCCGGCAAAAUAUGAGAUCCCGUCGGCAGACUCCCCCGGCUCAACAUCACCUGCCGGCAAACACAUUACUGACUUCCUGGAGUCAAUUGGCAUGCGAAUCUCCAGCUCGUUGUCCCUGGUGUAGAUGGAAUGUUCGGAAUUCCGGAAUGCGCCUAGGUUCCGGAAUGUUCGGAAUUCCGGAAUGCGCCAAGGUGUGAUUUUUUUAAUUCAUCUUUAGGCAUGAAAAAAAGAUUUUUUAACUUCAUUCAUCAUCAAACGUACUAUUCAAAGAGUUUUGUUACAUGCCCACUUAGGUCAGGGGUCAGCAACCUUUAACACCCAAAGAGCCAUUUGGACCCGGUUUCCACACAAAAGAACACACUGGGAGGACGCCGUGAAGAACAUCACUUUUGAUCAAAUCCAUCGUAUUACGGCUAAGAGAACCAGGGCCGGGAGACCACAUCCUAUUGUGGCCAAAUUCGACCACUUCAAACAGAGGGAGCAGGUAAAGAGGUGCGGUAGGGACCUGAAAGGAACGGAUUUCAGCGUGAACGACGCAAAAGAGAUCGUGGAACGACGCAAGGUCCAGUUCCCAAUUUGACGCAACUUCAUCCAGAAGGGCUUCCGUGCUGUCAUCGCUGUGGAUUCGGCUCUAUGUGGACAGACAGCUUUACCGCAACCCCGGAAGGGUUCCGGAAUGUUCGGAAUUCCGGAAUGCGCCAAGGUUCCGGAAUGUUCGGAAUUCCGGAAUGCGCCAAGGUUCCGGAAUGUUCGGAAUUCCGGAAUGCGCCUAGGUUCCGGAAUGUUCGGAAUUCCG
ensembl:lncRNA